UGCUCCAGUGGCGCAAUCGGUUAGCGCGCGGUACUUAUAUGACAGUGUAUGCGCGGGAGCGAUGCCGAGGUUGUGAGUUCGAGCCUCACCUGGAGCAUUGUUUUC
ensembl:miRNA